rnacentral:rRNA from 1 species
CCAAGGAGUCUAACACGUGUGCGAGUCAUGGAGCCGUACGAAACUCAAAGGCGCAAUGAAAGUGAAGGCUGGUCCUCGCGUCCGGCCUAAGUAGGACGGUCUUUUUUAGCCGCUCUUCGGGGCGGCGGGGCAAGCACUACCGGCCCGUCUCGAUCCCCACCGUGGGAUGAGGGCGGAGCAAGAGCACAUGCGUUGGGACCCGAAAGAUGGUGAACUAUGCCUGAGCAGGACGAAGCCUGAGGAAACUCUGGGGAAGUCCGUAGACGAUUCUGACGUGCAAAUCGAUCGUCAACUUUGGUAUAGGGGGAAAGACUAAUCGAACC